AGUGAACGCUGGCGGUAGGCCUAACACAUGCAAGUCGAACGGCAGCACAGUAAGUGCUUGCUCUUAUGGGUUGCGAGUGGCGUACGGGUGAGGAAUACACCGGAAUCUACUUUUUCGUGGGGGCUAACGUAGGGAAACUUACGCUAAUACCCCAUACGACUUACGGUUGAAAGCCUGGGUUCUUCGCACCUUGCGUGCUUGAAUGAGCCGAUGUCGGAUUAGCUCGUUGGUAGGGUAAAGGCCCACCAAGGCAACGAUCCGUAGCUGGUCUGUGAGGAUGAACACCGACAGUGGAACUAAGACACGGUCCGGACUCCUAGAGGAGACAGCAAAGGGGAAUAUUGGACAAGGUGCGGAAGCCUGAUCGAGCCAGACCGCGUGGGGGAUGAAGGCCUUCGAGUUUUAAAGCCCUUUUGUUGGAGAAGAAAAGCAGCAGGUUAAAACCCCGCUGUUCUGACGGUACCCAAAUAAAAAGCAACGGCUAACUCCGUG
rnacentral:rRNA from 1 species